UCUCAUCCCUUUCUCUCUCAUAACCAUCUCUCUCUAACCACCACUCUAGCACUACCAUCACCAGCACAACCACCACCAUAAACAACCCUCUUUUUCUCACCCACCACCGCUCUAGCCAUCACCACCUAACCACAACCACCACCCGGCCACCGCCACCCAUCCGCCGCCACCACCUCCCCUUUAACGGCUCCGCCAUCGCCUCCUAUAAACACCUCUGCCAUCGCCUCCCGUAAACACCUCUGCACCAGAACCUUCCCCACCACUACCACCCACCUGCCGCCGCCACCUACCCCUACCGCCUCCUUUAAACACCUCCGCUAUCACCACCAAGUGAACCUGAACAGAAGACUCGGCACUGAACACUGAAAAGAUCGAUGAACUUAGAAAGUUUGUCGAUAACAAAGAACUCCAAUCUGAAUGGAGGAAAGCUAAAAGGAAGAGAGAAUUGUGUCGUUUGGUGAAAUUAGGGAUCUAAAAGUAUUAUUUUAUUUUGUUAGGGUUAUAUUAAUUGUUUUGUUUUGUUCAAUUUUUUGGUAAAAUAGGGGAUCUGAAAAACAGAGAAACAAGAAGAUAGAAUUUUAGGUUGCGAUGGUGAUGGUGGUAGGGGAAAGCGGUGGUGGCCAGUGGUAGAGAGUUUUCAUGGUGGGUUUUCGGAUUUGAGAGGUUUUCAUGGUGUUUGUGGUGGCAGGUGGAUAGUGGUGUUGGUGGUUGCAGGUGGGGUGGUGGUGGCAGGUGGGUGGUGGUGACAGUGUUUGUGGUGGUGUCAGGUGCGUGUUGCUGACGGUGGUUGUGGUGGUGACCGGUGGGAGUAGGUGGGGGUGAAAAGGAAGUUAGAGAGAGAGAUAGAAGUGAGAUACAUGGAGAGAAUUAUGUGUGUAUACAUGUACAAAUGUAUAAUCUUUUUUAAACAUAAUUAAUGUAUUUAUGAUUUUUUUAUGAUUAUUUAUUU
rnacentral:lncRNA from 1 species